CCCAUGUGAGUCCAUUGGACUGUUGUUGUGUAAACCCAGAAGUCCAUGAUCUUAUAAGCUGCCAAAGGGAUAAAUGGGUGGAGGCUCUGGAAACUUCUGGGAUGUCCUCAUGACUCAUCUUGACUCUGACACCUAUCUUCUGACUCUUCCAGCUUUGCCUUCCAGACUACAAAGUGGGUGGAGCACAGCUCACUCACCUGUCCACAUGGCACAUGGAUGCAGUAUCUCUCACCAGUGAUGUUGGUGUUACUUGAAGAUGUCAAAACCAUUAGUGAGAACCUCACCCCACAGAGCAGGAAGUGAGCCAAUCAGAGCUCACAGCUGGCAUGAGACACACAGAUUGGCUAACAGCAGAGCAGGAUCACUUUAACCACAGGAGGAGGGAAAUUAAUCUGGUCUGUGCCCUCAUUGUAACGAAUACCCACUCAUUCGCUCAUUCAUUUCACUUAUUUGGUUAAUAUUUCCCAGGCCCUAAGAUGAGAUAUGGUGAUCAAUCAUACGUACCAACUCCUGAGAAUCGCAAACUAGUGCAAACAACUCCCCAGGGAGCUAGGCUGUGGGAGCACACAUUUUGUAUGCAGAACAGACCCUUAAACGGUAGACCAGAAUAACCAGAGGUGCUGAAGAGUUGUAGGACAAGAGCUAACCGUGGAUGCCUCUGCUGUCACCAUGAUAAGCAGAAGGAAGUCACUAAGUCAAUGGGCUUCACAGGGAUGCUACACAGUAUGACAAGCCUACAUGGGGACAGGAGAAGCUGAGAAGAGCCAGGACACUUUCCAAGCCUGUAAGACCUGAGUGGAGAGUGGCAGGAUCAGUGAACUAGUGGUACUUUGAUUUUCACUAGGAAAGAGUUUAUGGAUUCUGGGGAACUGAGGAUCUAUUUGGAGCCAAC